rnacentral:rRNA from 1 species
GUGAGGAAUAUUGGUCAAUGGGUGCAAGCCUGAACCAGCCAUCCCGCGUGAAGGACGACUGCCCUAUGGGUUGUAAACUUCUUUUGUAUAGGGAUAAACCUACCCUCGUGAGGGUAGCUGAAGGUACUAUACGAAUAAGCACCGGCUAACUCCGUGCCAGCAGCCGCGGUAAUACGGAGGGUGCAAGCGUUAUCCGGAUUUAUUGGGUUUAAAGGGUCCGUAGGCGGACUUAUAAGUCAGUGGUGAAAGCCUGUCGCUUAACGAUAGAACUGCCAUUGAUACUGUAAGUCUUGAGUAUAUUUGAGGUAGCUGGAAUAAGUAGUGUAGCGGUGAAAUGCAUAGAUAUUACUUAGAACACCAAUUGCGAAGGCAGGUUACCAAGAUAUAACUGACGCUGAGGGACGAAAGCGUGGGGAGCGAACAGGAUUAGAAACCCGGGUAGUCC